rnacentral:rRNA from 1 species
GGGGGAAUUUUGCACAAUGGGGGAAACCCUGAUGCAGCGACGCCGCGUGAUUUAGAAGGCCUUCGGGUUGUAAAAAUCUUUUCUAUGGGAAGAAAAUGACAGUACCAUAGGAAUAAGGACCGGCUAAUUACGUGCCAGCAGCCGCGGUAAUACGUAAGGUCCGAGCGUUGUCCGGAAUCAUUGGGCGUAAAGGGUACGUAGGCGGGUAAGCAAGUUAGAAGUGAAAUCCUAUAGCUCAACUAUAGUAAGCUUUUAAAACUGCUCAUCUCGAGGUAUGGAAGGGAAAGUGGAAUUCCUAGUGUAGCGGUGAAAUGCGCAGAUAUUAGGAGGAAUACCGGUGGCGAAGGCGAGUUUCUGGCCAUAACCUGACGCUGAGGUACGAAAGCGUGGGUAGCAAACAGG